rnacentral:rRNA from 1 species
AGUGAACGCUGGCGGUAGGCCUAACACAUGCAAGUCGAACGGCAGCACAGUAAGAGCUUGCUCUUACGGGUGGCGAGUGGCGGACGGGUGAGGAAUACAUCGGAAUCUACUUUUUCGUGGGGGAUAACGUAGGGAAACUUACGCUGAUACCGCAUACGACCUACGGGUGAAAGCAGGGGAUCUUCGGACCUUGCGCGAUUGAAUGAGCCGAUGUCGGAUUAGCUAGUUGGCGGGGUAAAGGCCCACCAAGGCGACGAUCCGUAGCUGGUCUGAGAGGAUGAUCAGCCACACUGGAACUGAGACACGGUCCAGACUCCUACGGGAGGCAGCAGUGGGGAAUAUUGGACAAUGGGCGCAAGCCUGAUCCAGCCAUACCGCGUGGGUGAAGAAGGCCUUCGGGUUGUAAAGCCCUUUUGUUGGGAAAGAAAAGCAGCAGGUUAAUACCCCGCUGUUCUGACGGUACCCAAAGAAUAAGCACCGGCUAACUUCG